GACAGAAAGUUUGGCACUCUCUAUAAAACUAAUUUCAGAUUCCCAUUUCAAGUAAACAACUGUAGUUUCAAACUAGUAUCAACAAUGAGCACAUCUUAUAAAAAGAUCGAUUCUUUCCCCUCCAAAAUGCUGACUUGGGUGGUAUGAACAAAGCCUCCAAAUUAACUUGCUCUGCAAAUUCCUUGUCCUGUUCACUGCACCUGAUAUCAGAAUCUAUCCAGCUUGCCAAAGUAAUACAUGGGAGAUGAGCAGUAAACAGUGCUGUGUAUCUGCGUAUCUCUGUGGGUUUUCUAAUCUCAGAUGUAGGUUGCUACAUAGUGGCUGCCACUGGUACCUUUUUGAAAACUGGUACCUUUUUGAAAUUUUCUAUUUAAAUGCAUUUCAACUGUCUACGAAAGAAGCCAGUCAAUCAAGUCACUCAGGGUAUCAUAAAGAUCCUCCAUAGAACAAUUUUGGACAAAGAGACAGCAGCCAUCCAUCAUAGCUGCCCCACCAUAACCCUCUUUACUCAAUACAAUCUCAUAGUGUUUGUUUUUAUUUCACGUAGAAAAACAUUUUUAUUUCCCAUUUUAUGAUUGCAAACCCAGUUUAAAAUGCCUGAACAACAAUGCUUCAAUACAUACAAUUUUGAUUAGUAUCAAGUUGGUAGUCUUUAGGUUUGUUUCAAUAUGGAUCUUAUUAAGAUUUUAUGUGCCAUGUAGGGUUCUGUAGAAUUCGAUAAAAAGGCACCAGUGACCGGAAAUUAAUUGGAUAACAAGUACUCUGGGUAUUUAGAGUAAGUCUAAACAUGACUGACUGUCAUGUGUUUUGGUUAUUACAAAAAGGUAAGCUUUACUCAUUUAAAUUCCUUUAUAUUCAUUGGAAGCAUGUGAAGUUUAAAUCCUUCAGUACCACUCAAGCAUACAAAUCACAUCUGAAUCAGAGCCAGGGAGGAAUCUAUGAAUGCAUGUUUUGUACUGUAGCUGCCUGACAUUUGUUUGAUGUAUUUUUUCAAUGCUGUGUCAUGUUGUGUAUUGACAUUUUUGUUUAUACUCAUAUAAGUUGGCCACUUUAACCUAAGGUUCAGAUUAUACUUUGUAUUAUAUUACCAGAACAAAAUGGCAUCCUAUUUCAUUGAAUUGGAUUUCUCAGGAUAUAAAAAAGGCUGAAAAUAAGACUCAAAUACAGUGGAUUAUGGUUUCAUUGAGGCUUCAGGGGAAAUUAAAUUAGAUGGUCCAAACAUUUGUCCUUGUGAGUAAAAAAGGUUUUCGUCAUUUGAUCUCUUUUUUUAUCACAGUUCACUAAACUGAGAAACAGAGAGUUUAAAGUGCAUGUACUGUGGAAUGGCUUUCUGAGAGACAUAGUAUAAAGACAUAGAGACAUAGUUGAUCUCCCUUGUUGGGGCUGUUUAAUGAAUGUUAUAUAUCAAUGCAGUGCUUCCCUGGGUUUGUUCACUUUCUGGAGUUUUUUUUUUUCCCCCAGUAUAUUAUUUCAAUUUUAGUGUAUGUUUUCAACAGUCCCAGACAGUUGGAACAAGCUGCUUUGGAGUUUAUGUUCUUGCUUUAGACCACAAAUAUCCAUGAUGCCCUACACCGGCCAUUGUAAAGCUUUCUGGUCUUCAGAAACUUUUCUAUAUAUCUAAAAUAUCCUUCACAGCACACAAAGCCUGCCUGUCUGAGUCACUCCUUUACAUUCACUAAAACUGAAAUAUCUAAAAAAACCCAGAAAGUGAACCAUACAUUUGCAUUUGGAAUGUGUGUAAUCCCCUUUCUGGAUGAAUUAUAGUGGAUUUGAUGGUGGAUCCAGGGGGCUAUGCACAUACGUCGUCCCUCCAAAGCCCCAACCUCCCUGCACUUCAAAAUCCACUGCCUUAAUGCAUAUGGAUAGAGCAUUCAUUUUUGAAUACAGAAACUGAAAUGAAACAUUACAUACCUUCUUAAUUUUAAUACCUAUUAUCAGAUACGUUUUACUUCUUUUAGAUACGAAAAAUCAUAAGCCCAACAGAACAAUCUGAAGCAUACAAAUGGAGUACAGUUGUGUUUACCUUUACAUGACAGCACUCAGGGGGAGAUUAUGGUAACCUUGAAAGACCACAGUGUUCUUAAUACCUGUAGGAUUGUCAUAUUUGGCAUCUACUGGUGGUGCAAGUCAUGACAUGGGUAAAAAGCAGAAAUGCUCAUUCUUACAGUAUGUCUUAAUACAGUGGGACCCCUGUGUAUGCUGGUUUUGGUUCUGACCACAAUUGCAAUCCCAGAAUUUUAACAAGCUGUUAAUAUUUCUUAAAUAUGCUUCUCAUGGUUUGAGAGAUUAUUUAACUCUGAAGUCAAAUUCAAAGAAAAUAGCAAUGCAAGCCAUGAUGAAUAAAAAUUCCCAUAUUCACACUGUGCCAUAUUUUAAAUUAUUACAUAAAGGUUAAAAUAUAUCAUGUAAAAUGUAACUGAUCAAAUUAAAGACCAAGUUGAAGGUAAUGUGAAAAGUGUGGACACCUGGCCACUAAAACUAAUCAUUUGGUAGAUAAUGAAGAAUUUAAAUACAACACAAAUGCUAAUGCGACAAACCUGUAUUGCAUUAACAAGUAUACAAGUAUAAGGGAAACAAUUAUGAAAGAAACACUUUUUAAACAACCUUAAUUGAGCAAGACUGGAUGUAACAAAAACUGGCGCACACAGAGGUUCCACUAGGCCAAGUGUGAGAACAGUUGUCUUAAUGAAUAUAUAAUUUGACAAGUUACAAAUGUCAGACAGAAAACUGCGGGUGGAGAGACUGUAAAACAUACACAUUAGCUAUGAGAUGUGAUUUACCAAGGUUGCUAUGAUUUGCAGCUUCAUGAAUUUUUCUCACUAUUUCAUGCAAGGAGAAAGGGGGUGUAAACUUAAUUUAAAUACACUGACAUGGCCACUGUUAUUGAUGUCAUACCUGCUAUAAUGUACCACACUUGUGGAAUUUUAAUCAUGGAGAAACCCUCAAGAUAUGUGAUCAGAUGGGGAAAAUCUUUCAGUCCUUCUGAGCUACACCUUUCAGCAAUGCUGCUAAAAUUAAUUCUGUUGCAAAUUCAUGGGGAAAUUAUUUGCUUCUGCACAUGCCACAUCUGAAGUUUCAAGUAAUCUUCAGCAUGCAGGCGAUAUUUUGUUUUAAUAGUGAUACCUCAUGAUCUUAAAAUUGAUCACAAUUCAUUUUCUUAGAUGUCAAAAUGAUAAUUACUUUUAUUUCAUUUCAUCAUUACGUAAAUGAUGGGUAAUUUUCAGUACAGAUGAAUAUGGUGUAUUAUAUAUAUGUGUGUUUAGCUCAGGAAACAACAGUUUGUUAACCCUUUUUGUUUUUGGCUGGACCGCAACAGCGGAGCCAGCCCUACAAACGUGAAUGUCUGUGACUGACUGACUGACUGACUGAGUGAUGCAGUUACACCAUUGGUUGGCCGAGUUAUGAAGUUACACCAUUAGUCGGCCGAAUCACGUGUGUUAGGUCCAGCCAUAUACUAGGUUUUAGGGGAGGUUCAGGGAAGCAAUGGAAUACAUGGACAAUAUCGGGUGACUUCGUUUAGUCUUUGAAUUUGUCAUUAUGCUGAGAAAUAGCUAAACCAUUUUUAUUGAUAGUAUUUGUGUUUCUCUGCAAAUGUGCGAAAACACGCUGGUAUAAUAAAACAAUGAAGGUAAAUAUAUAUAGUCCGCUUCGUUCUGUUGCUACCAUAACAGACUUUCUUGUGUCUACAGCUGCAGUUUCUCACUGCAAUUACUAAUAUUGAAUAUAAGCAAAAGACGCAAUUUAUGCUGUAGUCUGCUAAUGUCUAAAUAAAUAAUACGGUACUCUGCGCGCAGCACACAGGUAGCAGGGAUGGCAAGUUGAUAUUUUGUUUUUUGUUUUGUUUUUUCUGUCGUAUUUAUUAUUUGAAAUAUGUAUUAUUAUUCUAUCUGUCUCUGAGGCGCUCUGAAAUGCUGAGCAAUGGAUUGGAAUAUGUGUCUUUUCGCUGGACCGCAACAGCGGGGCCAGCCCUACAAACGUGAAUGUCUGUGACUGAGUGAUGAAGUUACACCAUUGGUCGGCCGGGUGACGUGUGUUAGGUCCAGCCAUAUUCUAGCCAUGCCAUUUGUUAUGUUUAACUAGCUGUGGCAGAUAUUUCAAACAUUUCAGAAUGUCCUUAGGGAAUCUUUGAACAGUCUGGAUAAUACUGGAGUAAUUUGCUGGCCAUAGUUUAAUCUAUCACACAGCAUGUAAUGAUGUCCUGACCUAAGCAUUUGUUCUUAAGAUUUCACUCUGAUAGUCAAAAUGCAUCUGUAAUGGCACACACUCUAAAAAUAAUUCAGUGACCUUGAAAAUGUGACAAUAAUUAAAAAGUUACGCUGUCACAAUAAAAUAGCUGUAUAUCACUGAAAUGAUCACUUGAGUUGCCUGCACCUAAAUGAAUGGCCAUACAUCCAACUCACUAAAGCAUUCUUCAUUCACCUCACAACUCAAAAUGAGUGGUAAUGGACAGACAGACACGUGAUUAUUCUCAAAAGUGCCAGUCAUGCAAAAAAAAGUUGUAACUGUACCAUCAUUGGGUUUACUUAAAAGAAGAUUGAAAAAAUAGAUUUUAAAAAUAAGCCUAAAUUACUGUAUAUCUACAAAGUUACAUACAGUAAUUUCAAUUACGAUAUAUAGUGCUGCUUUGCUGCAUUUUUUCCAUUACUUAUCACACCUAUUCUCGGAAUGUGACCCGCAGUAACACCUUUAUCAGUGUAAGUAUUCUUUAGUUAAUAAUUUAAUUCCAUAAUUCCAUCAUAACCCAUGCUUUGCAUCAAAUUUUCUCCACUUUUCAUUCAGAGUGCUAGAGUGCUGACUGUGCAUGUCUAUAAAUGUAAUCUUCACUCCACUUUAGUCUGAUUGACUGGCAAAUUAGGAAGGAGAAGUUUGUUAUAUAAGAUGAAUUAGAACCUGAAUGGGUGGGUCGAGAGAGUUGUUUAAUGAGGAGAAAAAUUCUCCUAAAUGCUCCUAAAUUCAGAUAAGACUGAAAUGUUGGUUUUAGGUCCCAAAAUAUUAAGGGAGAAAUUGUCUACUCUCACCUUAAACUGUGAUGGUUAUUUGGCUGAACCUAAUAUGGUCGUUAAAGACCUUGGUGUCACCAUUGAUCCUGAUCUAUCUUUUGACACCCAUAUAAAAAACAAAUCCAGAAUUGCCUUCUUUCAGCUAUGCAACAUAGCUAAAAUUAGACAUUUCCUGUCAGUUGGGGAUGCUGAAAAAUUGAUCCAUGCGUUUGUUAUGUCGAGGUUAGAUUACUGUAACACCCUGCUUUCUGGCUGCCCUAAUAACUCGUUAAAGAGUCUCCAGCUUGUUCAGAAUGCAGCUGCUCGUAUUUUUACCAGAACUAAGAAGUAUGAUCACAUUACACCAGUACUAGCGUCGCUUCACUGGCUACCCAUUAAGCAUAGGAUAGAUUUCAAGGUUUUGCUCCUGACUUUUAAAGCUCUGCAUGGACGUGCACCUGUGUACAUAUCUAACCUGCUCCUACCUUAUAAACCCACAAGGUCACUCCGAUCCCAAGACGCAGGCUACUUGGUAGUCCCAAGAAUUUCCAAAAACCUAAAAGGUGGUAGGUCUUUCUCCUACAGUGCCCCACUACUGUGGAACCAGCUUCCAAAAUUUAUAAAGGAGUCAGACUCUAUGCUCAGUCUUAUAAUCAGUUGUAGUCUGGAGACAGGGUGCGAGAAGCCUGUAGUCAUAGAGCUUUGUAGGUGGCAAUCCUUUCCUUACUGUCACUUGCGGGUAUGGUUGUCUACCCCUCAUGACUGCAUGGGCUCUCCAUCCCUGUCCUAGUAGCUAUGCAGCCAUAUACUACUCCUGGCGGGAUCCCCCCAAUACAUACUACUGCCACUGUCUCACUGUCUGCUAUACUGCAAAUUCCCUAAUAGCCGUUUCUACCCUCUUCCCCACGCUGCCGGCGGGGCUCUUGCCCCAACCCUCGAGAGUGCUUCAAGAGUCGUCUGGUCUCACCCACCUCUGUGGUCCAGCCCCUCUUUCGUCAUUGCCUCCACCCUGCCCACAUCUGUCGCCACCUGCUGUUCCCCAUCACCGCCACCCAGCUCCACCCAUCAUCUGAGCCACAUCAUAAACCUUAUAAAACUGACUGACAUGUUAGUCACCAGUCGGCACCCUGAGCCGACCAGAGGAGGAUAGAUUUCCCCCUUGAGCCUGGUUCCUUCCAAGGUUUCUUCCCAUCUGCCACAGGGAGUUUUUCCUUGCCACUGUUGCCUUAGGCUUGGUCCUGUGGGGGUUUAGGCCAGGGUUGUCUGUAAAGCGUAUUGUGACAACUGCUGUAAAAUACGCUAUACAAAUAAAAUUUGAUUGAUUUGA